GUAGCGCUGCUAUCUUCUAUUCCUUAAAUGGGCAAGGGAAAAGAACUAGCCCUUGUGUUAGUGAGUGAGCCGUUGAGCAAGCUAUUUAUUGUUCCGUUGCUUAUUCCGUUAUGCGUUAGCAAGUACAAUGUCGGUAAGACGGGAAAGCUGCUCCGUAUUAGCUAGAAGACUAUGUUCUUAAUCCAAAUGCAAUUCAAGCAGGGUAGGGGGUCGGGGCCAAAG
rnacentral:lncRNA from 1 species